AAGCGCGGUCACGUGACUGUUGCGGGCCCGCCAAGAUGGCGGCGUCCUGGUUGGUCUUCCUGGCGCUGUGUCUGCUGUUGCCGCUGCUGCUGCUGGGAGGAUGGAAGCGCUGGCGGCGGAGGCGGGCGGCCCGGCAUGUAGUAGCCGUGGUCCUGGGCGACGUGGGCCGCAGCCCCCGUAUGCAGUACCACGCGCUGUCUUUGGCCAUGCACGGCUUCUCGGUGACCCUCCUGGGGUUCUGCAACUCCAAACCCCAUGAUGAGCUCCUGCAGAACAACAGAAUUCAGAUUGUGGGGUUGACAGAACUUCAGAGUCUUGCAGUUGGGCCCCGAGUUUUCCAGUACGGAGUCAAAGUUGUAUUUCAGGCUAUGUACUUGCUGUGGAAGUUGAUGUGGAGGGAGCCAGGUGACUAUAUCUUUCUCCAGAACCCCCCAGGUCUGCCUAGCAUUGCUGUCUGCUGGUUCGUGGGCUGCCUUUGUGGAAGCAAACUCGUCAUUGACUGGCACAACUAUGGCUACUCCAUCAUGGGUCUGGUGCAUGGCCCCAGCCACCCCCUCGUUCUGCUGGCCAAGUGGUACGAGAGGUUCUUUGGGCGCCUGUCCCACCUGAACCUGUGCGUUACCAAUGCCAUGCGGGAAGACCUGGCGGAGAACUGGUGCAUCAGGGCUGUGACUGUCUACGACAAGCCGGCAUCUUUCUUUAAAGAGACACCUCUGGAUCUGCAGCACCGGCUCUUCAUGAAGCUGGGCGGCACGCACUCUCCGUUCAGGGCGCGCUCAGAACCUGAGGACCCAGCCACGGAGCGGUCGGCCUUCACAGAGCGGUACGCUGGGAGCGGGCUGGUGACGCGUCUCCGCGAGCGGCCGGCCCUGCUGGUCAGCAGCACGAGCUGGACAGAGGACGAAGACUUCUCCAUCCUGCUGGCAGCUUUAGAAAAGUUUGAACAACUGAUUCUUGAUGGACACAACCUUCCUUCUCUCGUCUGUGUGAUAACAGGCAAAGGGCCUCUGAGGGAGUAUUACAGCCGCCUCAUCCAGCAGAAGUGUUUCCAGCGCGUCCAGGUCUGCACACCCUGGCUGGAGGCCGAGGACUACCCCCUGCUUCUAGGGUCGGCAGACCUGGGUGUCUGUCUGCACACGUCCUCCAGUGGCCUGGACCUGCCCAUGAAGGUGGUGGACAUGUUCGGGUGCUGUUUGCCUGUGUGUGCCGUGAACUUCAAGUGGUAGGAGCAGAACCCGAAUCUUUCUGGGGAUAGCUUCGCAGAUCCACCGCUGAGGGGGAUGCAGUGCAGAGCGAGCUGCCCACAGUGAGGCCCUGCCCCUCGUUUACAUGAGCUGGUGAAGCAUGAAGAAAACGGCCUAGUCUUUGAGGACUCAGAGGAAUUGGCAGCUCAGCUGCAGAUGCUUUUCUCAAACUUUCCUGAUCCUGCGGGCAAGCUAAACCAGUUCCGGAAGAACCUGCGGGAGUCGGAGCAGCUCCGAUGGGAUGAGAGCUGGGUGCAGACUGUGCUCCCUUUGGUUAUGGACACAUGACUCCUGGGCCAGAGGCUAAAACCCCAGGACCCCGGCUGCCCUCCUUACAGCUUCUUGGGAGUCUCAGGGCAAACCCUUUCAAGCAGCGCCUCCCAGUGGCCAGUAGCUGAAAUGACGGCAGUGGUGCCGCCUGGUGAAUGAAUUGGUUGGGACCCCGGAAGCUGUGGUUGGCCCUGAUUUCUUUGGAGGCUCGGAAACAUUUCCUCUCUUCUGUUCUUCACGCCCCAUGCCCCUGCUAGCGUAUUACUGUUCUGUGACUUCCCCAUGACCUCUGCAGGACUCCUCCUCCUGUGUUUGGUCUCCAGGUGUCGCCUUUCUGCCGUGUUCCUAACGUUUUGAUUCCUGUCUUGAAAAAAAGCACCGGCUGCACCGUAAGCCCAGGGAUGUGGCAGCUGCAGCGGGCUUGGCUUUGUGAGGAACCGAGUGUGUCCAUGUUGGGGGACAUCAUACUUGAUACACACGUUUUUAUUUGCGCAAAGAAAAUGCUAUUUUUGGAGCCAGAAUUUUCAUGUCUGAUUUAUGGUGAUUUUCUUAAGAACUAGAACUGCUGGCAGAAAGGGGGCACCCCCACACUUAGACAGCCGAUGUCUUAUUAGAGGGCAGUUUGUGGUUCCUGGUUUGGAAUUUAACAUUCUUCAAACAUUCCAGUCCACUGAAAGUUUUAUCCGCUUUCCCAUAUA